rnacentral:lncRNA from 1 species
AUGAAGUGGAAAACGUGGGAGCCAAGAAGAAAGCUGCAAGGGAAGAUCCAUGCUGCACAGGACAAGAAGAGCAAUAAAAUCGAUAUCACUGAUUCAAGGAAACCAAAGUUCGCCAUCAGGAAGAAAGGUGUAAAUGCCUCCACAAAGCAUGUGGCAGCAGAGAAGCAAGUCCGAUUGGUUUUGAUUUGCAAGACAAAGAGGAAUUAUUUUUCUGAGAAGAGAUUACUCAUGUAUUACAUUGUUGUAAUGUGUGCUGCCACAAUGGGAGAGAGCUGCCCUCUCCUGCAAAUUUGGCAUAUCAAGGAACCUUUCUGAAACAUACUGGUCUGAAGCCAGUAGAUGUACUUUGCAGGGCUAAUGAGAGACAGUUGUAUUUUGUGAAUGAAGCUCUAAGGCAGAGAAUGAAACAAGUCAAUGACCAUCAUUUUCCUUCAGCAGGUCCUCCAGAUAAGUCUGCAUUUGUGAAAUGGAGGGGAGUGGUCAUGUUCUACUAGCAUGGUUCCCAGACAAAAUGUCUCUGCUGCUACUGUUCAAGGAAAUAAAGUUAAAAUGCUGCAAGCAGCAAGCAUGUCUAGGCAUGCUAAGCAUAAUUUCGCAUUCAGUGUGGGAGGGUCCAAAAUACUUGGCCUCCCCAAGUGAAAGAAAUGAACAUUCAAGUAAGGCAGAAGCUGAAUUAACCCUUGAUUACCAAGUACAGUUGUGCUUCUAAGUAUUGAAGAUAAGAUCUUCAUUUCUUUGGGGCAGCUCUUUGUGCACUGUAAAGCUCUUGGUGUUCACACCCUCUCUAAACAGGCUGACAAGAACAUUUACAAAUACAGUGCUAUCCUGCUGCAGUUGUUCACCUCAUCCUUCAAGAAAGGCAUAGAGUAAGCCACAUUUCUUACCACCAGCCGCUGCCAGGGUGCUCAGGAGCUGGGCUCUGCAUCUGCAGGGAGACAGGAUGGGUGCGAGGAUGAGCUGGUCCCCGAGGCUUCCUGCCUGCCAAGCACACAGGCGCUGCAAUCAGCGUGCUUGCUCCAAAGCAGCACCGGCAACUUUUCCAAGCUGUGUGUGCAGCUUUGCUGCACGAGGGCUGCAGUCUGCUGGCCUGAAAAACCAGCCUCUCCAGUUAAGAAAGUGGUGGGGCAGGAAACUGGCAGGGAGGCACAGCCAGCCACUGCUCCCCAAAGCUUCGCCCCCUUGAGUCCCACAGAUUUGGCAAUGCUGACUUCAUGUGGUGAGAUGUGUUUGUGUCAUUUUGAAGAAAGGACAUAGUGGGGCAGAGAAAAACGGGACAGGGAGUAAUGUAGCGCUUAAGUCUCUAUCUAAGUUUUCUUUGUUUUUGUUUUUAAAACUAUAUUAACACUUAUCUUUUAGCAUUUACUGUAACAAACCCACAGGCAAUAAAAAUCCCACAGUGAAUUAAAUGAGACUAAAUUUGUGAACAACAAGCUACCAGUAAGAAUCCCGAUGCCCUCCAUAUGAAAUAAAUAAAUAUCAGUUUCCACCUAAUAUUUACUUCUUGGAAGUUCAAGACUAAUCCCAUUUGGCAUAUUUUAUGGAAGUGAGCUCUUGACCCCAAAUGUUUAUGGGCUAUAACAGUAAGUCCAAUAAAAAAAAGGAAGAACAUUUAAAAGCUGCUCUUAAAAUCAGAUUGGUUUUAGGCACAAUUUCGAGAAAGACAGCACUUCACCUCAUGUUUCAAGUAAAAGGGGUAAGUGUGACUGAUACAGCCCAUCCAGAACAGUAUGUGGCUAUGAAAGUUUCCUUUAACAAGGAUUUCUGAAUAUCUGUAUUAACCCCCUAGCCCCCACAAGACAGAUAACACAGUACCACAUGGGUUACAUUAUUUACACCAUACUUCAUACUGUAAUAAAAUGUUAAGGGAGUCUUCUAGGUGAAAUGCCACAAAAUAAUACACCAACUGAAAUAAUGAGAAACAACAGUUUCAUCCCAAACUAGUUUGGAGAUAAAUGAGCCUUCAGAUGCAAGUAAUCAAAUUACCUGCUGUCUGUAAAAUAUUCUACAUCAACAGCUCAUGGCACAACAUUCUUUUGAUAUUUUUCUGUAGAUAAAUAAUAAUGUGGACACAGGUAAGCUUCUAUUGACGUGUUAUCAAUAUUUACUGUGUUUGUUGGAGCUCAGUUUGUGGGUCCUGCUUUGCAUGCUGUAUGUGCUGUGGGAAUACAGAGAUAGACAUAGAAAUGCUUGUGUAACUCAAAGACCACAAGUCAUGCCACAGCUUUUCUAAUCAUGUGUGUUCUGCCUCUGUGAAAGGGACACAAAGCUGGCCCCAAACUAAGCUUUGCAAAGCAAAAUGAUAAGUGCAAUGACAGCACACUGUAGCAAUCUUUGCAGAUGAAUUUAACUGAGUAAAUUAGAAAUUUUGAACAUAUGAAGAGUACUCUAGAAGCAAAGAGUACUUCUUCAAACACUCAGGGUUAAGAGUCAGAGAUGGACAGAUCUGGAAAAUAAGGAGAAAGAACAACUCACAGGUGCACCUGGCUGGCCCAGCUGUGUGAACCUUUCAUUCAGCGAGCCGUGUCCGAGUUUUCCAAGAAUUAAAAAAGAGAAAGGUGGAGGGCGGGAAAAAAAAAAAAAAAAAAAAAAAAAAAAAAAAAAAAAAAAAAAAAAAAAAGGAAAUUAAAUAGACAGGGCUCUUGUUACUUGGCGCCAGGAAUAACUGAGCAGUAAAUUUCCAUGGAGUCCCUUCCCACGUGUGAAGUUCCUUGAUGCCAAAUCUACCACCUGCCCAUCAUAAUCAGUAGCCUCUGUUAUAUAUAUACGUAUAUAUGCAUAUAUACAUGACCUAUCCUUCAUAUGCAUGUACAUACGUACAACACAUCCUUUAGGAGGCUGCGCCGGCCGCCUCACACCACAGCCACAACUGCGGAAAAAGAGCAGCACGGACUGCACUCCUUACCCACUAGAUUUUAAUAUCCAGAGUAAAGACGGGGCGUUAAUCUUGAUAUUUUUUUAAACCUAACUUCAUUCCGCUCCA